UACGUAGGGAGCAAGCGUUGUCCGGAAUCAUUGGGCGUAAAGCGCGCGUAGGUGGCCCCGUAAGUCCGCUGUGAAAGUCAAAGGCUCAACCUUUGAAAGCCGGUGGAUACUGUUGAUCUAGAGUACGGAAGAGGCGAGUGGAAUUCCUGGUGUAGCGGUGGAAUGCGCAGAUAUCAGGAGGAACACCAAUAGCGAAGGCAGCUCGCUGGGACGUUACUGACACUGAGA
rnacentral:rRNA from 1 species